GUGUUGAAAUAUUUGAUGUCACUACUGCUUUGCCAACCAAAUGGACAUUGCACACGGCUCCCCUCUAAGUAAAGCCAUGUAAGUUGAAAUUAACUCGCACUUGCCAAAAUUAAAAAAAAUUCUGCCCACAUCACUCCUAACGGCAGCUGCUCCAGUCCAGGGCUUCAAACGCUAAUGGAGACACUGAAGAUGCUCCAAAGCUUCCCUCUGUGUCAGUGAGUCCCUCUGCUGAGAUAGUGGAGGGCAGUUCAGUGACUCUGACCUGCAGCAGUGAUGCUAACCCAGCAGCUAAUUAUACCUGGUACAAGGAGAACCAAACACUGAUUCAGGGACCAGGAGACAUUUAUCAUUUCACCUCUAUCAGCUCUAAGGACAGCGGGAUCUACCACUGCAAGGCUGAGAAUGAGUAUGGCCAGAUCAACUCCACAUCUGUAUCCAUAGAUGUCCAGUAUGCUCCAAAGCUUCCCUCUGUGUCAGUGAGUCCCUCUGCUGAGAUAGUGGAGGGCAGUUCAGUGACUCUGACCUGCAGCAGUGAUGCUAACCCAGCAGCUAAAUACACCUGGUACAAGGAGAACCAAACACUGAUUCAGGGACCAGAGGACAUUUAUCAUUUCACCUCUAUCAGCUCUAAGGACAGCGGGAUCUACCACUGCAAGGCUGAGAAUGAGUAUGGCCAGAUCAACUCCACAUCUGUAUCCAUAGAUGUCCAGUAUGCUCCAAAGCUUCCCUCUGUGUCAGUGAGUCCCUCUGCUGAGAUAGUGGAGGGCAGU